UCUAUCGGUAAGGACGUGAAAUACGAAAUAACAAGGGAGAGACUUUGAACUUGUUUAUCCUAACUGAAAAGGGUAAGUUGAAUAGUUAAUUGAAACAUCUUACUAAACUAUGAGGAAUACAUCAACUGAGAUUCCGUGCGUAGCGGCGAGCGAUAGCGGAGAAAUUGUCUUAAACAGAUAAUUAAGAUGAUUGGACAUCUAGACUAAACCCCGAUAGACACCUAUAGAGAAAGUACCGUGAGGGAAAGACUCAGAAUUGGUUCUAAAAGUUACCUUUUGCAUAAUGGGCCUGCAAGACAAGAUUUGGCAAGCUUAAGUAGUAAAUGAAGGCGUAGUGAUAGCAAGACAAACUCGUUAGUCAAAUUUUCCCGAAACCAAGUGAUCUAACCAUGGCCAGGUAGCUAUGCUGACCGAACCAGUGAUUGUGGCAAAAAUCUUGGAUGAGCUGUGGUUAGCGGUGAAAUACUAGUCGAACUUGGAUAUAGCUGGUUCUCUACGAAACUUAUCUUAGUAAGGCGCCCCAAGCUGAUUCGCCCCCAAACCCCGGGGGUUUGAAUUACUGGUGUAGUAAGACUAUGGCGAUAAGGCCCCUAGUCAAGAGGGGGAAGCCCCAACCAGAAAUUAAAGUCACUAAUACAGAUUAAGUGUAUAAAGAGGGCUCAACUUAGACAAACAGAAAGUAGGCUUGGAAACAGCCAUCUGCACAGGAAAACGUAAAAGUUCACUGAAUGAGCCAGGGACCUCUAAUAAUUAAGGCGGCUAAAUCUGUAACUGAAAUUCUGGAAGCCAGACCGUAAGGAAGCAUCAACUGGCUUGUUAGUAGAGCGUUCUGUAGGCACGAUAUGUGCGCACCUUGUAAGAUAAACAGAAGUGAUAAUGCAGGCAUGAGUAGUACAAGAUUAACUCCCAAAUAAAUAUAUAUAUAUGUAUACAGCUUCUAAGGACAUUAUGCCCGAUGAAUUAUAAUUUUUAUACCUGUUCAGGAAAAAUAUUAUGGUACUUCGUACCUUCAACUGUUAUUUAUGGGAUUUAUAUCUAGGCAUAAUUUCUCUUAAGGAACUCGGCAAAAUAAGAUCUCGACUGUUUACCAAAAACAUAGCUCUCUGCUAAAGGCUACUUAAGUAUAGGGGGUGAAUUCUGCCCAAUGGUUGUACAGUGAAACUAAGUACUAACGUAUAAAGCGAAACCCAACUGAAUGGCCGCGGUAACUCUGACCGUGAUAAUGUAGCACAAUAAAUAGCCAAUUAAUUGUUGGCGGGUAUGAAUGGAACCACGAGGGUUUUACUGUCUCAAGAGGAAAGCCGAUGAAAUUAUAGUUGUAGUGAAGAUACUACAUAGACUUUGUAAGACGAAAAGACCCUAUCGAGCUUUACGGGAUACCGAUAGCGUUAACUCAAAAUGAUCGAUACUAAGUAUUCUAAUUUUGAGUUAAUAAUUUUUGUUGGUGGGACAGUUUAGUUGGGGCGACUGCCUUUGAAUAAGAAACGAAGGCGAGCUUAUGGUAUACAAAGCUAAUCUCAUUAGCCUGACAGUGAGGGGGACACCCCUAGCUGGCACAAGGACUACAUCCUAUGUGGGCGAUAAUGACCCGAUAUAAUUGUCCAAAAUAAAUAUCGAAAGCGAAUAAAAGCUACCGUAGGGAUAACAGCGUAAUAUUGUCGGAGAGUUCUUAUCGAGGACAGUGUUUGCGACCUCGAUGUUGAAUUGCGGUGCCCUGGUGCUGUAGAAGGUACCCUAGGUUGGUCUGUUCGACCAUGAAAACCGUACAUGAUUUGAGUUCAGAGCGUGGUGACACAGCUCGGUUUCUAUCUACAAUGUUCAAUCCCAACUUUUUUGAGUCCUAGUACGCAAGGAAUGGUCUCAGCGAUGCUCGACUAUAUUGGCCCCAUCGAUGUAAUUAACUUCUGGCUGCUGCAAAGAAGGAGAACAAAAGGUUUAGGGAUUAAUAAGAUCACCUUCUUAUAUGCCAUGUGGGUGCAUAGCCCCUGGCAUACUAUGGAAUUAACACUAGGGCUCAUCAUACUAAUAGUGUUGACGUAUGGAUUAAAGGCCCCUACUUUAAGAUUAGCUAUGCUACUUGCGGGGGCUGCUGGGCUAUUAGCUGUGCCCCACCUACUAUGUUGGACACAGGCGAUUAAGAUGUUGGUGAUGCUUAGUGGGUUAGCUAUACUAUGUAUGCUGGACCAUCAAACAUCGC
rnacentral:rRNA from 1 species